rnacentral:rRNA from 1 species
GAUCCUGGCUCAGGAUGAACGCUAGCUACAGGCUUAACACAUGCAAGUCGAGGGGCAGCAGGGAUUUAGCUUGCUAAAUCCGCUGGCGACCGGCGCACGGGUGCGUAACGCGUAUCCAACUUUCCCGUUACUCAGGGAUAGCCUUCCGAAAGGGAGAUUAAUACCUGAUGGUGUUUGAAAUUCCGCAUGUCAUUUCAACUAAAGAUUUAUCGGUAACGGAUGGGGAUGCGUGACAUUAGAUAGUAGGCGGGGUAACGGCCCACCUAGUCUGCGAUGUCUAGGGGUUCUGAGAGGAAGGUCCCCCACACUGGAACUGAGACACGGUCCAGACUCCUACGGGAGGCAGCAGUGAGGAAUAUUGGUCAAUGGUCGGAAGACUGAACCAGCCAAGUAGCGUGAAGGAUGAAGGUUCUAUGGAUUGUAAACUUCUUUUAUACGGGAAUAAAACACCUUACGUGUAGGGUCUUGUAUGUACCGUAUGAAUAAGCAUCGGCUAACUCCGUG